rnacentral:rRNA from 1 species
UACGUAGGGUGCAAGCGUUGUCCGGAUUUAUUGGGCGUAAAGAGCUCGUAGGCGGUUGGGCAAGUCACGUGUGAAAUCUCCACGCUCAACGUGGAGGCGCCACGUGAGACUGCCCUGACUCGAGUCCGGUAGGGGAGCGUGGAAUUCCCGGUGUAGCGGUGAAAUGCGCAGAGAUCGGGAGGAACACCCGUAGCGAAGGCGGCGCUCUGGGCCGGUACUGACGCUGAGGAGCGAAAGCGUGGGGAGCAAACAGG